rnacentral:rRNA from 1 species
UGGGGAAUUUUGGACAAUGGGCGAAAGCCUGAUCCAGCAAUGCCGCGUGUGUGAAGAAGGCCUUCGGGUUGUAAAGCACUUUUGUCCGGAAAGAAAUCCUUGGCUCUGAUACAGUCGGGGGAUGACGGUACCGGAAGAAUAAGCACCGGCUAACUACGUGCCAGCAGCCGCGGUAAUACGUAGGGUGCAAGCGUUAAUCGGAAUUACUGGGCGUAAAGCGUGCGCAGGCGGUUUGCUAAGACCGAUGUGAAAUCCCCGGGCUCAACCUGGGAACUGCAUUGGUGACUGGCAGGCUAGAGUAUGGCAGAGGGGGGUAGAAUUCCACGUGUAGCAGUGAAAUGCGUAGAGAUGUGGAGGAAUACCGAUGGCGAAGGCAGCCCCCUGGGCCAAUACUGACGCUCAUGCACGAAAGCGUGGGGAGCAAACAGGAUUAGAUACCCUGGUAGUCCACGCCCUAAACGAUGUCAACUAGUUGUUGGGGAUUCAUUUCCUUAGUAACGUAGCUAACGCGUGAAGUUGACCGCCUGGGGAGUACGGUCGCAAGAUUAAAACUCAAAGGAAUUGACGGGGUCAUA